rnacentral:rRNA from 1 species
GCUUGUCUCAAAGAUUAAGCCAUGCAUGUCUAAGUAUAAACUAUUUUAUACUGUGAAACUGCGAAUGGCUCAUUAAAUCAGUUAUAGUUUAUUUGAUGGUACCUUACUACUCGGAUAACCGUAGUAAUUCUAGAGCUAAUACAUGCGUAAAAUCCCGACUCUCGCGGGGAGGGAUGUAUUUAUUAGAUUAAAAGCCAAUGCGGGCUUCUGCCCGGUAUUGUGGUGAGUCAUAGUAACUUUUCGAAUCGCAUGGCUUCACGCCGGCGAUAGUUCAUUCAAAUUUCUGCCCUAUCAGCUUUCGACGGUAGUGUAGUGGACUACCGUGGCAUUUACGGGUGACGGAGAAUUAGGGUUCGAUUCCGGAGAGGGAGCCUGAGAAACGGCUACCACAUCCAAGGAAGGCAGCAGG